rnacentral:lncRNA from 12 species
ACAUUCUCCAAUGGCUCCUUCUUAUGGUCGCUGAGGGAUCUUGUACUUUGCACGAGUUUUGAUUUUGUGAUGAUCUGGAUCAUUCUGUAAGCAGUUAUGAAAUAUCUCCCAUAGAGCUGUGGCCCAGGGAAGACGGAGGAAUUAACUCAACAGAGGAAAGAGCAGUGUGAGUGGUCUUAUUCCCAGGCAGACAGCUGUCGGUGUGAUCUCAGCGAGAACCAUAGAACAGAGGCAUCAACUCCUUCCCCUGGUCCUCAGCUCGGAGAGCAGAGCCUUGGGUUCCAUCGAGGGAAGGCUCUGGGCUCUGGUUUCAGCCCAGUGACUGUGAGAUCCUAUUUCCUCUCUGUCUGAACCCAGUUAUCUGAAGCAGAUGCUUGUUGGAGUCUGUCUGCAAUCCCAACCUUACUUCAGCCCCUUAUCAUUUCCUUCUAGCUCAGCUUCAGCUCCAAAGGCUUGUUUAUGCUCAAGAGGAACAUGGAUGGCUGUCCCAACCUCCUCCUGAGCAUAAAGAACCCCCACCUUUGCCAGGCUUCAUAGGGUGGGGAAAGGCCUGGGUUCCUGGGGGAAAUUUUCCCCAAAACAUAACUGAAAGUAGAGCGAUUUCAUAUCUACUUUCUUUUCUUCUUCUCUUCUUUUUGUUCUAUCUGUGCUUUCUUCCCCCCUCCUCCACCCUUCCUCCGUACAAAUUUACAGCAGAAACCUGCCAUUCUAGUAAUUUAAAAGCUAUUUUACUCCAGUAUUAAAGAUGUCCUGUGUAACAGAGCUUCUGGUUCAUUUCAUGAAAAUUUAUUUCCAUACAUAUGAACCAACAAUUUCAAAGACUCCGAUGCAUAUAAAAUUAAUAAACCUGAACGCCGCCCGCUAGCACAACCGUGGUAAAAUCUACAAAUUGAAAUCACCGUUGCGGCCCCAAUAUAUUCACAUUUUAAAACUACGUGGCCUCCUCAACCAAAUAAAUGUUUGCCCUCUAGUGAGCAGUCUUGGUGUGGGGCUAGAGGGCACCAGAAGGGCAAGUUCAGAGGUCCUCAGGACAUUUGGGUUAGGACAAGAAGGUCUAGAGUGGGGGCCAUGGAACUCUGGGGAUAGGCCAGAAUGGGCGAGAUUCCGAGUAACCCAGGACAACUCCGGCUCUUGCAUCAAAGAAGAGGAGGAACCAGUAACAACGGCGUGCCCAAUACCUGCCCAGUUUUCUAAUCACUUUGCAUACACCAGUUGGUUUCAUCUUCGGGUUUCGUACAUGAAGGAUGUCCGGGUAAACAUAUCUGUGAGAGACUCCCGGGGUCAGGUUCCUGGUUCUGCAGUCCAAGCCCUCUGGUGGGUAUCUCAACCUUUCAUCGGGCUUCUUCAAGCAAGGGAAGCGCGUGAUCACCAGUAUCUUCCCUCCAUCUAACUCAUGGCCAACCCCACCGUGUAUCUCAACGAUAAUAUUGUGUCCUGUGUCCCCAAAACAUUUGAUAAGAGCAUUCAGAACAAAUACAGAUCCCUUGAGGGAUGAUAG